UUGGCUUCGGGUUGCAUCGAAAAUGGGUAAUUUCAACGACACCUUCGGAAAGAGUCCUUCCUAUGAUUUUGGUUGCAUAAAACAUGUAAGACGGCAUAGUUUUAGUAUAUUGAGAAGUUUUGAACCUUUCAAUUGUUGGCAAUACUCAAUAAAAUAUAGCCGUGGAGAUUCAAAAUUUAUAUGAGCUACUGUUGUGGGAGCAAAUCUCGCUCAGUAGUCAGGAAGUCACUGACUCACUGUCCCAACCAAAGCCUUGAUUUGAGCCUUGAAAGUUGGUACUUAUUAGAAAAAAAGGAGAGGGGUUUAGGAACAAGAUGAAUA
rnacentral:sRNA from 1 species